AGCAUUCAUAUUAAAAUGUGAAAUUCGAAUGAUCCCAAUUGGAAUGAAUUGUACUUGAAACGCAACGAAACGAUGAUUUAAGACUGUGUGACAAACUGCAGGAAUUUUUCGCAAACGAGAAUCAUUUUGAUCGUUGACAGUUUCAGUUCAGACAACAUACUCGUUGAAUGAGGUUCAGAAUAAAAAGUGAGUCGAUCGGAUUAUCAUGGGAACGAAUUCGCCACAUAUUUCAAGUCCUCAAGUGGUUCGUUUAUGAAAUUGGCAUUGCUCCGGGUUUUCCACUGUCCGUCGUCAUAUUGAAACCGACAAAGAGAAAACAUCACCGUUGACGCAGGAGAAUACCACUGGCUGGCUCGAUACAAUCAACGCGAGAAAAAAGGAAAAAAAUAUCGAAAGAAAUUCCAGGAUGAGGAAAGAGCGCACAUGGACUCGUUAAUUUUCAUGCCAUCUCCAAUUUGUUUAGAAAUUUUACAUCGAAACUCGAGUCGCAAUGAUGGACAAAGCCCUUGCUGUGUAUUCGUAACGAAAAUAUGUCUUGCUAAAAUUCGAUCAUUACUCUGAUUCUGUUCAUGCAAGUGAUGAAACAGCCAACAUGUUGACGAGACGGUGAUAUCAAGUACGAGACGGUGUUAUGAUUUUGCCAAAGGUUAUCAUCACAAAAAUGAGUAAGCGACAAAUUCAACGUCUUCGCAAAUGAAAGCGAUUGGAACAAGCUGCCCAGCCAAACAAUGUUGUUCAGCCAAUUGUUGCAUAUCCAAAUCCAUCACAACCACUUUUAGUUCCCAAAAUCGUGGUAUUAUUCAAAAUGAAACUAAAUGACGCCGGUGAAUGGGUAUAAGUAGCAAUGCAAACAAAAACUGUUUGGGACCGGAACAUACUUGCGGCCAAAUGUAUCAUGUACAAAGGUAAUCGAAAUUGAUCUAUUAGAUUUUGUUUGAAUGUUUAUUAUAUGGUUCGUUGUGUUUUCAAUGAUAUGCCAUUGUGAGGUGUUCGGUGAAGAAAUACAUCCAUCACUAAAGCGUCCACGACCGCAACCUCAUGUCCAGCCACCUGAUGCGCCAGCCGAUGAAGACGACAAUUGGCACGACGAAUGGUUCUAUGAGAAUUACGACGAGUGGUACAGUGUAGCAGGCAUUUGGGAGGAAGAUCAGUUUGGAAAUAUUAUCGUGCAUAUGCUUGACAAUUAAUGAACAAACAUCGACGUCAUUUAGUAUUAAAAUAAGAAAAAAUAAUGUAACAAUAGUUACUUAGCUAGGCUUGAUUUAGUAUACAUAAGUGUGCUAUCUGUGGCCUUGCAAACUAAUUAGAUAAUAAUUAGGUCUUGAUGAAUCCGAUUGUGGAUCAUUGGGAUAGUUGUACAACUGCACCGCGUACAUCUCGUACGUUUGUAGUAUUAAAUAUCCCCAGUAAUUAAUAUUUUUUGUGCACUGAUAUACAAACAAGGGUCUCAUUAACCCACUGUGACCUAUCUGACGCUCUUGCAGGCUUAUAAAAGGUUAUUUUGAACAUUCUUCAAACAAGUAUUAUGGCCGUAAAAUGAAAUCAUUUCACGCUAUUUAGUGAUAUCAUUUUAAAAAAAAAUGUUUGAUAACCAAAAAGUUCAUCCAUGCAGAAAUAAAUAAAUUAAAACUCUCGAAAGUGAACAUAAUAAAAUUGAAUUUUUCGCCCAUUUUUACAUGUAAAUGUUGGAUAAAAUUCAAAAAUUUUUCGUCAAAUAAAAAAUCAGUACAAAAUUGU